AGAAUUUCCACCUUAAAAAAUUGGGUAAAUCCAAUUUUCCCCAAAACAAACACCAAAUCCCUAACCUUCCUGCCCUCUCUCUCUCGCCACCGUCGUCCCUUAUCCCAAUCGUGCGCCCUCACCGGCCGGCUGCACUACUAGAAAACCGACGGACAAUCAAAAGCCCCUUUUCUUUUCUUCCUCUUUCGACUAAAACCAUAAAUUUCUAAAAUUCCCACCCCUCUCUUUUUAUUUCACUUCACACCCGCAGGUUGUCGAUCCAAACACGAUAAAAUCGAAGCACAAAAGCUCGUCGCGUAAACCGACAUAGCUCUGCUUGAAAUUUCGAUUCGCAAGGCAACAGACCCAGGUCGAGUUCUGUCGAAGAAAUUUCGAUUCAGAAUUAUGCCUCACUUUUUAUUCUCUUCUUUGCUUGUUCUCUGUAUCAGCUACCACUUGCACUUGUUGGGUGCUAUCAAGUUUGGCACUUUGGGGUCUUUUCAGGUUCUUCUGUGAUAAGUGGGGUUUGGAUAGAUUUCCUGUCACUCAACUGGUCUUGAUUCGCAUAGCACAAUGUGACCACAAUAGCAAACUUAAUGGAGUGGUUCUAUGAACCUCCGAAGGGAAAGAUUUUGUUAAAUGGGGUUCCUCUACUGGAAAUAUCAUAUGAAUAUCUUCACAGAAAGUUGGAUCCUCAAUUUCCUCUUUAUUAGGAUUUUAUACAACUGCCAUGAAAGCUGCAGGGGCAAGUAGGAGGAUUUUUCAGCUCUUAGAUCGUGUCUCAAGCAUGGCGAAAUCAGGAGACAGGUGCCUAGAGGGAUCAGUCAUAUCACAAUAUCCUUGAAAAGUCCAUUAGUCUUAUGCCAGGAGAAAGACAAAGUUGUGUAACAGUGUUGAAAUCAAGCAUACAAUUUGAUUUUUGUCAAGAUAUUGAUUGCUUCUAAUUUGUGAUGUUAUAUUGUCUAUGGUAGAAAUCCAGAUGGAGAUGUAGAAUUGAAUGAUGUCUGGUUUGCUUAUCCUUCUCGACCAACUCAAUGGUUCUUAAGGCAAUGGUUUCUCUAUUACACAUAUAUGUGGUGAAGGCGAUACCAGUUCUUGUUGAAGUGUGUGGAACUGAUGCUUUUCGCCGAAUGGAUUACUUUCUAAAGCAUUUGAAUCAAUUGGGUUCUCUAGGGUGCAAAAUUUUCCAACUGUUGGAUAAUUUGAUGGUAACUUUAGAUAGAAUCUGGAAGACACUGGAAUGCGAUAGGGGUAUGCCACUAUACGCCAAAUGUUUCAUUUUGCUCAUUAUGCAAUUACACUUUAGUUGCCUUAUUGUAUCAUUUGUGUUUUUAUUUAAUAGAAUUCAUAAACAAUUUUGUAAAAUAUUUGACUUUCUUUUAUAAAUAAAA